GCUAAUACCGCAUAACGUCGCAAGACCAAAGAGGGGGACCUUAGGGCCUCUUGCCAUCGGAUGUGCCCAGAUGGGAUUAGCUAGUAGGUGGGGUAACGGCUCACCUAGGCGACGAUCCCUAGCUGGUCUGAGAGGAUGACCAGCCACACUGGAACUGAGACACGGUCCAGACUCCUACGGGAGGCAGCAGUGGGGAAUAUUGCACAAUGGGCGCAAGCCUGAUGCGGUCUUGCAGCUCUGAUCAAUAAGGCCUUCGGGUUGUAAAGUACUUUCAGCGGGGAGGAAGGGAGUAAAGUUAAUACCUUUGCUCAUUGACGUUACCCGCAGAAGAAGCACCGGCUAACUCCGGUUUGUCACCGGCAGUAAUACUUAGAGUGCCCAACUAAAUCGGAAUUACUGGGCGUAAAGCGCACGCAGGCGGUUUGUUAAGUCAAAUGUGAAAUCCCCGGGCUCAACCUGGGAACUGCAUCUGAUACUGGCAAGCUUGAGUCUCGUGGAGAAGCCUAGAAUUCCAGGUGUAGCGGUGAAAUGCGUAGAGAUCUGGAGGAAUACCGGUGGCGAAGGCUUCCCCCUGGACGAAGACUGACGCUCAGGUGCGAAAGCGUGGGGAGCAAACAGGAUUAGAUACCCUGGUAGUCAAUUCCUUAAACGAUGUCGACUUGGAGGUUGUGCCCUUGAGGCGUGGCUUCCGGAGCUAACGCGUUAAGUCGACCGCCUAAAGAAUGCUGCCUCGGCGGAAACCCUCUAACACUUAGCGGGGGCCGUUUACGGCGUGGACUAUGUGGUUUAAUUCGAUGCAACGCUGUUUACCUUACCUGGUCUUGACAUCCACGGAAGUUUUCAGAGAUGAGAAUGUGCCUUCGGGAACCGUGAGACAGGUGCUGCAUGGCUGUCGCGAUAUUUCAUUGUGAAAUGUUGGGUUAAGUCCCGCAACGAGCGCAACCCUUAUCCUUUGUUGCCAGCGGUCCGGCCGGGAUUUCCAAUGACCCUGCCAGUGAUAAACUGGAGGAAGGUGGGGAUGACGUCAAGUCAUCAUGGCCUUUACGACCAGGGCUACACACGUGCUACAAUGGCGCAUACAAAGAGAAGCGACCUCGCGAGAGCAAGCGGACCUCAUAAAGUGCGUCGUAGUCCGGAUUGGAGUCUGCAACUCGACUCCAU
rnacentral:rRNA from 1 species